UCACGUCUUACGACGGCAGUUUCACUAGAGUUCCCAGCGUUACCUGAUGGCAACUGAGAACGGGGGUUGCGCUCGUUGCGGGACUUAACCCAACAUCUCACGACACGAGCUGACGACAGCCAUGCAGCACCUGUGUCUAGGUUCCCUUUCGGGCACCGCUACAUUUCUGCAGCGUUCCUAGCAUGUCAAGGGUAGGUAAGGUUUUUCGCGUUGCAUCGAAUUAAACCACAUGCUCCACCGCUUGUGCGGGCCCCCGUCAAUUCCUUUGAGUUUCAGCCUUGCGGCCGUACUCCCCAGGCGGGGCACUUACUGCGUUAGCGACGGCACCGGGAGGGUCGCUCCCCCCGACGCCUAGUGCCCAUCGUUUACGGCGUGGACUAC
rnacentral:misc_RNA from 1 species